rnacentral:rRNA from 1 species
GACGUAGGGUGCAAGCGUUGUCCGGAUUUAUUGGGCGUAAAGAGCUCGUAGGCGGUUUGUCGCGUCUGCUGUGAAAACUCGGGGCUUAACCCCGGGCCUGCAGUGGGUACGGGCAGACUAGAGUGCGGUAGGGGAGACUGGAAUUCCUGGUGUAGCGGUGAAAUGCGCGGAUAUCAGGAGGAACACCGGUGGCGAAGGCGGGUCUCUGGGCCGUAACUGACGCUGAGGAGCGAAAGCGUGGGGAGCGAACAGG